rnacentral:rRNA from 1 species
GACAGAGGAGCCAAGCGUUGUCCGGAUUGACUGGGCGUAAAGCGCACGCAGGCGGAUGCGCGCGUGGGGUGUGAAAUCUGGCCGCUUAACGGCCAGGCGCCAUCCCAUACGGCGCGUCUGGAGUGAUGCAGAGGUCGAUGGAAUUGCCGGUGUAGUGGUGAAAUGCGUAGAGAUCGGCAGGAACACCCAGGGGGAAACCAGUCGACUGGGCAUCUACUGACGCUGAGGUGUGAGAGCGUGGGGAGCGAACCGG